rnacentral:rRNA from 1 species
GAUGAACGCUGGCGGCGUGCCUAAUACAUGCAAGUCGAGCGAACAGACGAGGAGCUUGCUCCUCUGACGUUAGCGGCGGACGGGUGAGUAACACGUGGAUAACCUACCUAUAAGACUGGGAUAACUUCGGGAAACCGGAGCUAAUACCGGAUAACAUGUUGAACCGCAUGGUUCAACAGUGAAAGACGGUCUUGCUGUCACUUAUAGAUGGUUCCGCGCCGCAUUAGCUAGUUGGUAAGGUAACGGCUUACCAAGGCAACGAUGCGUAGCCGACCUGAGAGGGUGAUCGGCCACACUGGAACUGAGACACGGUCCAGACACCUACGGGAGGCAGCAGUAGGGAAUCUUCCGCAAUGGGCGAAAGCCUGACGGAGCAACGCCGCGUGAGUGAAGAAGGUCUUCGGAUCGUAAAACUCUGUUAUUAGGGAAGAGCAAAUGUGUAAGUAACUAUGCACGUCUUGACGGUACCUAAUCAGAAAGCCACGGCUAACUACGUG